AUACGUAGGGAGCAAACGUUGUCCGGAUUUACUGGGCGUAAAGCGCUCGUAGGCGGUUUGUUAAGUCGGAUGUGAAAGCCCCGGGCUCAACCUGGGAACUGCAUUCGAUACUGACAGACUAGAGUAUAGUAGGGGCAAGUGGAAUUCCGGGUGUAGCGGUGAAAUGCGUAGAUAUCCGGAGGAACAUCAGUGGCGAAGGCGACUUGCUGGACUAAUACUGACGCUGAGGAGCGAAAGCGUGGGGAGCAAACGGGAUUAGAAACCCUUGUAGUCC
rnacentral:rRNA from 1 species